UAGUGGCGCACGGGUGAGUAUACCAUAGAUAAUGUACCUCUUAGUUCGGGAUAGCCACUGGAAACGGUGAUUAAUACCGGAUACUCCUUCUUGUCUCAAGGCAAGUCGGGAAAGUUUUUUCGCUAAGAGAUCAGUCUAUGUCCUAUCAGCUAGUUGGUGAGGUAAUGGCUCACCAAGGCUAUGACGGGUAUCUGGUUUGAGAGGAUGAUCAGACACACUGGAACUGAGACACGGUCCAGACUCCUACGGGAGGCAGCAGUGAGGAAUAUUGCACAAUGGAGGAAACUCUGAUGCAGCAACGCCGCGUGGAGGAUGACGCAUUUCGGUGUGUAAACUCCUUUUAAGAGGGAAGAUAAUGACGGUACCUCUUGAAUAAGCACCGGCUAACUCCGUGCCAGCAGCCGCGGUAAUACGGAGGGUGCAAGCGUUACUCGGAAUCACUGGGCGUAAAGGGUGCGUAGGCUGGCUUUUAAGUCAGAUGUGAAAUCCAAUGGCUUAACCAUUGAACUGCAUUUGAAACUGGGAGCCUAGAGUUCAGAAGGGGCAGAUGGAAUUAGUGGUGUAGGGGUAAAAUCCGUAGAUAUCACUAGGAAUAUCAAAAGCGAAGGCGAUCUGCUGGG
rnacentral:rRNA from 1 species